rnacentral:rRNA from 1 species
AUUGAACGCUGGCGGCAUGCCUUACACAUGCAAGUCGGACGGCAGCGCGGGGGCAACCCUGGCGGCGAGUGGCGAACGGGUGAGUAAUACAUCGGAACGUGUCCUGGAGUGGGGGAUAGCCCGGCGAAAGCCGGAUUAAUACCGCAUACGCUCUGUGGAGGAAAGCGGGGGAUCUUCGGACCUCGCGCUCAAGGGGCGGCCGAUGGCAGAUUAGCUUGUUCUGGGGUAAAGGCCUACCAAGGCGACGAUCUGUAGCUGGUCUGAGAGGACGACCAGCC